UACAGAGGGUGCGAGCGUUAAUCGGAAUUACUGGGCGUAAAGCGUGCGUAGACGGCUAUCUAAGUCGGGUGUGAAAGCCCCGGGCUCAACCUGGGAAUUGCAUUCGAGACUGAAUAGCUAGGGUACGGUAGAGGGAAGUGGAAUUUCCGGUGUAGCGGUGAAAUGCGUAGAUAUCGGGAGGAACACCAGUGGCGAAGGCGGCCUUCUGGACCAAUACUGACGCUCAUGCACGAAAGCGUGGGGAGCAAACAGG
rnacentral:rRNA from 1 species